CUAGUCUUCGCCCAUCGCUGCCAAAUCAGCGGUCUGGCGUGAGAACCCGUGUU
rnacentral:ncRNA from 1 species